rnacentral:lncRNA from 1 species
ACAAAGAAGGCAUGAGAACUACACACGUCGGGGCUACCGCGUCGCAUUGAGCUACGAAAGGCCUUGGCCAUAACCACAUGUACCCGGAGGCGGCUAAGGAGGGAAAUGGGUGUCUCGCGUCAUUCCGGUACGUACGGAGCAGGGUUCGACACUGACCUUCCUGAAACUUGCGGGCUCCCCCGUACCUCCCAAAUUUUCCUUACGGAGGGGCCCCCGUACCAGGCUCCUGUACCGGCCGAAAACCUUACGGGGGCCCCCGUAACCCUCGCAAAACCUUUACGGGGGCACUGUCCUUGGCUGAAACGCUGUGGAAAGUGACGCUUUGCAUUUUUUUGCCCUGUAAAUCGUUAUUUUCGUUAUUUUCUCGUGAACCAUUACACUCGGGGACACGGCACACUCAGUGAAAGCCAAGCGCCUUGGCCGCCGUGGCGCGCUUCUUGGAGGGCGGUGGCUUAGGAGGCCCUUGGUCACCUCCUGACGACUCAUUGUCUGCCAUCGCUGGAUGUUACAGACCAGAAGUUGUAAAAGUAUUAUGAAAAGUGUAGUUAAAUAUUGCAAUAUGAAUUAUGUCUGCCAAGUGUGUGGCCUUAUCCUUUAUAUGGUCCGUCCUCUCCCCUACGGGGGACUUUACGGGCCCCGUACGGCCUCUUAUAAAUCCUUAAAAUCCUUACGGGGGCCCCCGUAACCGGCCUUCGGCCGGUCCGGCGGCGGCCCCGCACGGGGGCGCUUCGCGCCCCAAAAUCCUUACGGGGGCCACCGUAAAGUCCUACGGGCCCUUACGGGGAUACCGAAAAAAGGCCAAAAACUUACGGGCCCCGUACGGGGUGUCGAACCCUGGUACGGAGACAUACCAUGCUGGCACACCCCGGACGGUAAUGCCGUUGGCGGCCAUGCCAUGGGUCGGCAGGGGGCCCUUAUAGGGCCUCUGUUGCACUCGGAAUGUGACGGAGUGCGCUGUUGGCUUCCUGUGCAAGUCUUGUGCCCCUUUCCUAAACCUCGAGCGUACCCAUGACCCCACCUAAAAACCCCACCCCACCCCACCACACACACGCACCCUCCUCCCGCAGCAAACUCAAAUACGGCAACACACUUAAUAAUAAGGUACAUGUACACGAUUAAUACGUCAUGCACACGUGUACACGUGUACGGCGCCACUCACGGUUCG